rnacentral:lncRNA from 1 species
CGUUGCGCUCAUAUUUUUACAUUUCGUCUUUAUACCUCAAAUACAAUUAUGUUCUCAUCCAGAUCAAUGUGGAAACAUAUUCAUCAUCUGGGAACUAGACCAUAAGUACUACUCCAAAACUGGGAGAUUCCUCCGUUUUCAUCUAUUUACUUCAAUUUUCAUCUUAUAUGUUACCAUUUGUGUUUGCAUCCAAGCUCUUUGGUCAAAUUUUCUAUUCAUUACUUAUGUAUCCACAUUCAAUAUCAGAUGUUGCAUUAAAGUAUGACUCUCCGAGAURCCCCCYYCCCACUUGCCUGUAACAAUGAGUUUAUUACUUCUACAAAAAAUAGGCCAAGAGAAGUUCAGUUCAACCUAGGCAUACAAUUUCUGAAUAUGGUAAAGCUGGAGAUAGAAAAAAUAAUCACUUCUAAUGCACCCAGUGGCCCUCUGCUAUGUUUCCUAUACAGCUGGUUACAUUCCACCCGAGGUUUAUUCAGCAAACAUGUUUCAUGUCUGGAUUUGUAAUGUGUGAAAUAAUUCUACAUGACAGUUUCAUGGAAG